rnacentral:pre_miRNA from 15 species
AGAGGGUGGGUGUGAGAAUGACAGUGCAGUUCUCCUCUUGGCAAGGAGUCCAAGCAGGUGCAGAUGCAUGUGGCCUCCCUCUCUUGCCAAAGGAGAAUUGCCCUGCCAUUUUCCCCCACUGUCC